rnacentral:rRNA from 1 species
GCACCCAAAAUUUUUCUUAAUCCAACAUCGAGGUCGCAAUCUGCUUUGUCGAUAUGAGCUCUCAAAAACAAUUACGCUGUUAUCCCUAAGGUAACUUAAUCUUAUGAUCAUAAAUUAUGGAUCAAAAUAACAAACAUAAAUCAAUGAUAUAAUAAUGAAGAGUUUAUUUAUUCUUCAUGUCACCCCAACAAAACAUUAUCCUUAAAUAUAGAAAGACCAUCAAAAAACUAUAUAAAAGUAAAAUGUUAAGCUCUAUAGGGUCUUCUCGUCCUAAAGAUAAAUUUAAGCCUUUUGACUCAAAAGUUAAAUUCAAAAAUUUAUUAAGAGACAGUUGAUUUCUCGUCAAGCCAUUCAUUCCAGCCACCAAUUAAGAGACUAAUGAUUAUGCUACCUUUGCACGGUCAAAAUACCGCGGCUCUUCAAAAUAUCGCUCAGUGAGCAGGC